CAAUAGGAACGGCGGACCGACUUAUUUUCAACCAUAUUUCAACGUUGAAAGACGGUAAUUGUUUACUGGGUAAAUCGGGAGUUUGUGUGGAGUUACCGGAUGGGAAUGUGAAUCGAGUCAGUGGAGAUCAAACUGUUCAGAUCCAUCAUGGAUGAAACACAAACUUCUGGAGAUGAAGAUUUGUUUCCAGCACACAGUUCAGUUCAUCAGAAGAGAUCAGAAGCAGAGUUCAGCUGUGUGUCUGUGAAGAGUGACGUGUCUAUGAUUGAACCAAUGAAGUUUAAGAGUGGAGAUUCACAGCCUGAUCUCAGGUAUAACAUUUGUAUGAAAAUAUGAUUAUAACGUGACUUUUAUUAUUGUCACAUAUCAUCAGAGUUGAGUUUACAGUUUUU
ensembl:lncRNA